rnacentral:rRNA from 1 species
AGUGAACGCUGGCGGUAGGCCUAACACAUGCAAGUCGAACGGCAGCACAGUAAGAGCUUGCUCUUACGGGUGGCGAGUGGCGGACGGGUGAGGAAUACAUCGGAAUCUACUUUUUCGUGGGGGAUAACGUAGGGAAACUUACGCUAAUACCGCAUACGACCUACGGGUGAAAGCAGGGGAUCUUCGGACCUUGCGCGAUUGAAUGAGCCGAUGUCGGAUUAGCUAGUUGGCGGGGUAAAGGCCCACCAAGGCGACGAUCCGUAGCUGGGCCGAGAGGAUGAUUAGCCACACUGGAACUGAGACACGGUCCAGACUCCUACGGGAGGCAGCAGUGGGGAAUAUUGGACAAUGGGCGCAAGCCUGAUCCAGCCAUACCGCGUGGGUGAAGAAGGCCUUCGGGUUGUAAAGCCCUUUUGUUGGGAAAGAAAAGCAGCAGGUUAAUACCCCGCUGUUCUGACGGUACCCAAAGAAUAAGCACCGGCUAACUUCGUG